rnacentral:rRNA from 1 species
AAAGAACCCCGGCGAGGGGAGUGAAAAAGAACCUGAAACCGUGUACGUACAAGCAGUGGGAGCACGCUUCGGCGUGUGACUGCGUACCUUUUGUAUAAUGGGUCAGCGACUUAUAUUCUGUAGCAAGGUUAACCGAAUAGGGGAGCCGAAGGGAAACCGAGUCUUAACUGGGCGUUAAGUUGCAGGGUAUAGACCCGAAACCCGGUGAUCUAGCCAUGGGCAGGUUGAAGGUUGGGUAACACUAACUGGAGGACCGAACCGACUAAUGUUGAAAAAUUAGCGGAUGACUUGUGGCUGGGGGUGAAAGGCCAAUCAAACCGGGAGAUAGCUGGUUCUCCCCGAAAGCUAUUUAGGUAGCGCCUCGUGAAUUCAUCUCCGGGGGUAGAGCACUGUUUCGGCAAGGGGGUCAUCCCGACUUACCAACCCGAUGCAAACUGCGAAUACCGGAGAAUGUUAUCACGGGAGACACACGGCGGGUGCUAACGUCCGUCGUGAAGAGGGAAACAACCCAGACCGCCAGCUAAGGUCCCAAAGUCAUGGUUAAGUGGGAAACGAUGUGGGAAGGCCCAGACAGCCAGGAUGUUGGCUUAGAAGCAGCCAUCAUUUAAAGAAAGCGUAAUAGCUCACUGGUCGAGUCGGCCUGCGCGGAAGAUGUAACGGGGCUAAACCAUGCACCGAAGCUGCGGCAGCGACACUAUGUGUUGUUGGGUAGGGGAGCGU